GACUACCGGGGUAUCUAAGCCUGUUUGCUCCCCACGCUUUCGCGCCUCAGUGUCAGUAUCAGUCCAGUGAGCCGCCUUCGCCACCGGUGUUCUUCCAGAUAUCUACGCAUUUCACCGCUACACCUGGAAUUCCACUCACCUAUCCUGUACUCAAGUCCUGCAGUAUCAAAGGCACCCCCACGGUUGAGCCGUGGUAUUUCACCUCUGACUUACAAAACCACCUACGCGCCCUUUAUGCCCAGUAAUUCCGAAUAACGCUCGCUCCCUCCGUAUUACCGCGGCUGCUGGCACGGAGUUAGCCGGAGCUUCCUCGAUAGGUACCGUCACAUAAUAAGGCUAUUCACCUUACUACCAUUCUUCCCUAUCAACAGAACUUUACACCCCGAAGGGCUUCUUCAUUCACGCGGCGUCGCUGCGUCAGGGUUUCCCCCAUUGCGCAAAAUCCCCCACUGCAGCCGCCCGUAGG
rnacentral:rRNA from 1 species